ensembl:lncRNA
CUCAGGUGCUUUUUGAAUAUCCCAUUGCAGAUCUGUAUAAUAUACACCACUCUUCUGGGAAGGCUUUCCACUAGACUUUGGAGCGUGGCUGUGGGGGUUUGCGUUCAUUCAGCCACAAGAGCAUUAGUGAGGUCAGGCACUGAAGUCAGAAAAUGCAUGAAUUCAUCCUGCAAGUGUUUCACAUGACGGGUAAAAUGCCAUACCUUUCUAAAUCGCUUAGGUUGUCUAAGAUUAAAUGAUAUGAAAUGAUACCAGUCAUUUCCUGUGUGUGUGUGUGUGUGUGUUCAUGGUGGUUGCGGGAUUUCUUGUUUCCA